rnacentral:lncRNA from 1 species
GGCCCGCCCGGAACGUGGCCUCCCGAGAGCUAGCAACGAAUUAUAUGAUCACCUUGAUUAUGACGGCGUUGUUUCUGGAUAAUCAUGCCAAUAAGGCAAAAUCAAUCAAUCAAUCAAUCAAUCAAAAGUUACAUUGGUUUUGAAGGUGGGAAUAAAUCUGCUGACCACAGCUGAAAGCUACUUGGGGAAGAAAGGGUUCAUUUCAUCCUGCACUUCUCCAUCGUGCUCCAUCACUGAAGGAACUGGGCAGGAGCUUAAAGCAGGAAUCUGGGAGCAGGAACUGAAGCAGAGGCCAUAGAGGAGUGCUGAUUGCUGGCUUGCUCUCCGUAGUCUGCUCAGCGACCUUUCUCGUGUAACCCAGGACCACCUGCCCAAGGAUGGGACCUCCUGCAGUCAAUCACCAAUCAGGAAAAUGCCCCACAGACAUGGUGACAGGCCGUUCUGUUGGGAAAGUUUUCUCACCUGAAGUUCCCCUUUACCAGAUGACCCUAACACAAAUGCAUUACUGAUUGAAAAAAAUUGAAAGAAAUCAAGGAAAAAUUAAGUGGAAAUUUCAUGUUCAUGGAGAGAGAGAGUCAUUAUUGUCAGGACUUCUGAACUUGAUUGAUAAAUUCAUUGGAGUCUCAAAUCGAAAUUCCAUUAGUUACUUUAUAGAUAUUGACAAUUUAAUUUUGCAGUUUAUAUAGAAGAGCAAGCACGAUAUUAAAGAAUGGAGUUGGACGGUUGGCUUUAAGUCUUCUAGAGAGAUGUAAUGAUCAAGUGUGGCCCUGGCAAGAGACAGACAAGCAGGUCAGUGGAGCAAAUCUGACACGGGGGGCUUCUGAGGUCCCACAGAUUUGAUCAACUCAUCUUUGACAAGGAACAAGGGAAACACGGUGGGGUUUUGCCUUUUUCACUGGUGCUGGGACAACUGGGCUCUAUGUAAAAACUAACAAACGAGAACUCAGAAUGGGCCAUAAGCAUGCGUUUAAUCUAUGAAACUGUUAGGAAAUACCGCAGGAGAAUGUGCAGGUAACUUUAGGUCUGGAGAUAUUUUACAAACAGGCAAAAUUCACAGAAGGAAGAUAUCAGAAGGCGUGCCUAUUAAAUAUCGUUUUUUUUUUUAAAUGCACCUUGCAAAAAAAAAAAAGACAGUAUCAAGAGAAUAAAAAGAUGAGAUGCGGGUCAGGAGAAAAUAUUUAAAUAUUUUCAAAAGAUGUAUUUCAAAUAUGCAAAGAAGUCCUACAACUCAAUAAAAACUCUUAAGUUAAAAAUGGGCUAAAUCCCUUACAGAUACCCAAGAAACUAGGAAAAUAGCAAGAUGAUCCUAUGAAUAGAUGAUCCACAUCAGAGACAUCAGAAGAGUGCCAAUCAGAAUAACAGAUACCACUUGGCACUGCUUGGAAUGGCCAGAAUCCGUUACACAGAAAAAGACCAGGUGCUGGCAAGGAUGUGGAUCAACAGGAACUCUCAAUCAUUUGCCAGAGGGAGUGCUGGAUGGUACAGCCAUCUUGGAAAAUGUUGUGAAACCAUACACCUUCACCAGGUGGUCGGUCUAGGAGUUGCAGUUGCGUUCCUUGCAAUCUACCCAAAGGAGCUGGGAAUUUACAUACAUUCAAAAAAGAAAAAUCCCUACAGAGGGGUUCUAAUUAUCACUGUGUUAGUAGUUACCAAACUUGGAAGCAAUAAAGAUACCCUGUAUUCUUCAGAGUAAAUGAAGAAGUUACCUAGGCAAUGGGAUAUUAUUUCAUGAUGAAAAGACAUGGGUAGGGCCAGGGAGACAGUUGUGUUAUUAAGGAGCCUUCCAAGCUGGGGAACCUGCAUCCGACCCUCAGAACCCAAAUU